UCCCUCUGUAUGCAGAAUAUUGUGCAACAUGGUUAUGGGUACUACAGUGGAUGUGAGUGUGUAGACCUUGUACAAUAGAGCUUAUAGGCUAAUGAGAAGACAGGAAGAAACAACAGGAACACAUAUAGCUGGAAUGCAGAUGGGAUCUGUGCUACUUACGCUAGCCAUGGGAUGAUUAGAACAAGAUAAGAGACAUGAGGAAGACUUCUUCAAGGAGGUGCUCAAGCCAUGUUUUGGAAAAGAGAACUCAAGGUCUGGCAGGGAGAAAGGAGCAAGAGUAGACUUUGAGUCUUUGCUUCAGAUGCAGAUCAAGAUGUGGCAACCUGUUGUGGAGAACUGGGUCCCUUGAGCCUGUGCUGUCUCUUUUUUUCUGGUGGCUUUGUCAUUUGGAACAAUGCAUAAUGGGCUGGAGGCUGAGAAACUCUGAGCUGAGGUCCUCUUCUCCCUGAAGGCUGUCACAGUUCCUGUGCAGAGAGAGAGGGCACUGCAGCACCCAGGCGCUGACUGCCUUUUGUCAGUCUCAUUUGCAGGCCCCCAGCUGGAGAACCCAGGAGGAAGAGGAAAAAAGUUUUUUCCUCCUCUACACUCCCCAUGCAUGACUAAAGAGUAGGAGGAGUCAGCAAGGCAGACAUAUAUAGUACCCAGGAGGUGGACAAACAACUGCCUUGGUGGAAACUCUGUCCUUUCUGGACUUAUCCUGGUGCCACUGAGACUGUGCAGGGCUUCUUUUGCUCAAUAUGGGACUCAUGAGAGUCAUCGGUGUUGUGUGAGGCAGCUGUUUGUUGAUUUUCUGGACCAAAUAAUGUUCCACCGUGUGACUGGACAUACCUUAGUCUAUCCAUUCUACCACUGAUGAGCAUAUUUAGAUCUACAAUCCACCUGGAAUUGAUUUUUGUAUAUGGAGUGAGGUCCCACACUUACAGGGAAAGCAUCACCCGAAAGUGAGAAUGCCUAGAGGCAGGAAUCAUGGAGGCUUCCUUAACCGUCUGUCUGCAACAGCAGGUGCUAGAGAUGACACUGCAGAGUAGAGAACAAAGGAAUCUUAGUAAUUGUUCAAUCCAAUCUCCACACUUUAAAGAUGAAGAAACUGGUAUUGAGAAAAAUACACAGCUUAUCCAAGGUUGCACUGCUGGUUGGUAGCUGAGAUGAAUUUAGAACCCACAUCUGAUGACUACACCAUAUUGCUCCCAGUUUUCCUGUCUGUUCCACAUGUAAAAGUCUGACUCUUCACUUCUCCUUUGAGUAUAUAGACUUUUAACAUUUUUGUAUGUCAAGAUGGACUUUUCCUCAUACCCAGCCCCUGCCUUUUCUCCUCCCUUCAUACCUUGCAGGAUCUUUAACAGAAUUUAAAAGGAGUUUUUUGUUUUGUUUUGAUGUAUCUAAUAAAAGUCAAGGGAGGGAGAGGGCCAGUAUAAGCAAGAGUACAGUUUCCUAGUUUGUAGAUGCGGUAGUCUGAGGAAUCAGAAACACACAAAGGUUUGGAGAACUGGUACAUGCUCCCAGGUGGGAAGCCAGGACUCUUGGUAGGAUCUUGAGGACAAGGCAAAGGACAAUAAGAGAGCGAGGGGAUCCUAGAGGUGGAAUCAAGGAAGAGAAACUAGAGAGAGAAAAAGGAACUGGCUAUCCAUCCAUGAUGGAUCCUGUGUGGACUGAUGGGUGGCUUGGCAUCAUCCUUUAGUAGACUUCAUGUGGUUGAAUAAUUGGCCAAUGGAAGGAAUUUCUUUUUUGGUAACAGACUCUGUGUGUACAGUUAUGGGUCUUAAUUUAUAAUAAAAGGUUACAUUGAAAA
rnacentral:lncRNA from 1 species